rnacentral:rRNA from 1 species
CCUUACCAACGUUUGACAUCCCUAUCGCGGAUCGUGGAGACACUUUCCUUCAGUUCGGCUGGAUAGGUGACAGGUGCUGCAUGGCUGUCGUCAGCUCGUGUCGUGAGAUGUUGGGUUAAGUCCCGCAACGAGCGCAACCCUCGCCUUUAGCUGCCAGCAUUUAGUUGGGUACUCUAAAGGAACCGCCGGUGAUAAGCCGGAGGAAGGUGGGGAUGACGUCAAGUCCUCAUGGCCCUUACGCGUUGGGCUACACACGUGCUACAAUGGCGACUACAGUGGGCAGCCACCUCGCGAGAGGGAGCUAAUCUCCAAAAGUCGUCUCAGUUCGGAUCGUUCUCUGCAACUCGAGAGCGUGAAGGCGGAAUCGCUAGUAAUCGCGGAUCAGCAUGCCGCGGUGAAUACGUUCCCAGGCCUUGUACACACCGCCCGUCACACCAUGGGAGUUGGAUUCACUCGAAGGCGUUGAGCUAACCGUAAGGAGGCAGGCGACCACAGUGGGUUUAGCGACUGGGGUGAAGUCGUAACAAGGUAGCCGUAGGGGAACCUGCGGCUGGAUC